rnacentral:misc_RNA from 1 species
UCUCCGUAGGUGAACCUGCGGAGGGAUCAUUACUGAGUGAGGGUCCUCCGGGGCCCGACCUCCAACCCUUCUGUGAACCACCUCGUUGCCUCGGGGGCGACCCUGCCGUUCGCGCGGUGGGGGCUCCCGGCGGCCAUUUCAAACCCUGCGUAAUCAAGUCGUCGGAGUUCAAAACAAAUAAAUCAAAACUUUCAACAACGGAUCUCUUGGUUCGGGCAUCGAUGAAGAACGCAGC